GAUGAACGCUGGCGGCGUGCUUAACACAUGCAAGUCGAACGGUGAAGGCGGAGCUUGCUCUGCUGGAUCAGUGGCGAACGGGUGAGUAACACGUGAGCAAUCUGCCCCUGACUCUGGGAUAAGCGCUGGAAACGGCGUCUAAUACUGGAUACGAGCUGCGAAGGCAUCUUCAUCAGCUGGAAAGAACUUCGGUCAGGGAUGAGCUCGCGGCCUAUCAGCUUGUUGGUGAGGUAACGGCUCACCAAGGCGUCGACGGGUAGCCGGCCUGAGAGGGUGACCGGCCACACUGGGACUGAGACACGGCCCAGACUCCUACGGGAGGCAGCAGGGGGGAAUAUUGCACAAUGGGCGAAAGCCUGAUGCAGCAACGCCGCGUGAGGGACGACGGCCUUCGGGUUGUAAACCUCUUUUAGCAGGGAAGAAGCGAAAGUGACGGUACCUGCAGAAAAAGCGCCGGCUAACUACGUG
rnacentral:rRNA from 1 species